rnacentral:rRNA from 1 species
AGCAGCCGCGGUAAUUCCAGCUCCAAUAGCGUAUAUUAAAGUUGUUGCAGUUAAAAAGCUCGUAGUUGAAUUUCGAGACCGGUCUACUGGUCGUGCUUUUGUACGUACUGGUAUAAUCGGUUUCUCUCUUCUGACGAACUAUAAUGCCAUUAAUUUGGUGUUUUAGGGAAUCAGGACUGUUACUUUGAAAAAAUUAGAGUGUUUAAAGCAGGCUCACGCUUGAAUACAUUAGCAUGGAAUAACGAAAUAGGACGUUUGAUUCUAUUUUGUUGGUUUCUAGGAUCGACGUAAUGAUUAAUAGGGAUAGUUGGGGGCAUUAGUAUUCAAUUGUCAGAGGUGAAAUUCUUGGAUUUAUUGAAGACUAACUACUGCGAAGGCAUUUGCCAAGAAUGUUUUCAUUAAUCAAGAACGAAAGUUAGGGGAUCGAAGACGAUCAGAUACCGUCGUAGUCUUAACCAUAAACUAUGCCGACUAGGGAUCGGAUGAUGUUAAUUUUUUAAUGACUCAUUCGGCGCCUUAC